UACGUAGGGUGCAAGCGUUGUCCGGAAUUAUUGGGCGUAAAGAGCUCGUAGGCGGUCUGUCGCGUCGGCUGUGAAAACCCGGGGCUCAACCCCGGGCCUGCAGUCGAUACGGGCAGACUAGAGUGCGGUAGGGGAGACUGGAAUUCCUGGUGUAGCGGUGAAAUGCGCAGAUAUCAGGAGGAACACCGGUGGCGAAGGCGGGUCUCUGGUCCACUACUGACGCUGAGAAGCGAAAGCAUGGGGAGCGAACAGG
rnacentral:rRNA from 1 species